AGAAACGUGAAUCAGACUAGUAGAGAUUACUUUGUGAACUUGUGAGGGAGAGAUGAGACCUUGAGAGAGGAGUGGGCAGCUGCAUAGAGGAGAGGAAAAAGAGAGCUGGAAAACGUGAGAGGAAGAAGAAGGAGGAGAACCAGCAGCUGAAUAGUGUCAAACCUUCCUCAAACUUAGUUAAAUUCAGAAGGUGGUGCGGUCGGGAUUGGACCAUCAUCAAGACAGGAACGACCCACAGGUGGAGCAGGGACGUCACACCAACGAGAUGUCUAGGAUACCCGAUACACGGGAACCUACUUUUGCAAGGAAUUAAGUAGAUGCAUUCUAAAUCACAAUGUAUUUUGUAGGGAUCAAUGUACUGAAUGUAUAACUUUUAUUAGAUCCUUUUUGUUUAAAAUUUGUGAUGGCUAUUAGAAGUAUAAGAGUGCAAACUCAUGUCCAUGUAUAUAUAUUUUUAAUAUGAACUUCAAAUCAUGCAACCUUAAUAUUAUGUGUUUGUGUAAGAUUCGCU